GCCUGGGUGGCUCAGUAGGUCGAGCGCCCGACUUCAGCUCAGGUCAUGAUCUCACAGUCUGUGAGUUCAAGCCCCGCGUCGGGCU
rnacentral:tRNA from 1 species